UAUAUAAUUGUAUAUCGUAGGUGCUUUACUCUUCCACGGUUCCACCCUUCAAUUUUCUGGAUUGUUCUUCUUCUGCUCAUAUCCACCUUUCUCCUCUCUGUCUCUGUCUCUAUAUAUAUAUCAUAUACAUAAUUACAUACACAUAUAUCUGAAAUAAUUUUGUUGCAACAUCAAUGGAACCCUCUCAAUCAUCUUCAUCAAACACUCGUCGAUCGCCGCUUCGUUACUUCUACUGUAGCUGCUUCCGACGCUGUUGUCGAUGUUUCUGUUGCUGCUACACCUAUCCAUAGAACCCUAAUUUCAUAAUAUUCGUUUUCUAAGCUUUUAUGGUAAGCUCAAUCAACUCUUUCUCUCUCUAGGGUUACAUCCCCACUGCAUCAACACCCAACUUACCGAUUUUCAUCACCAAUUGUCGAUAAUUCAACCUCCUUCAACACGCCAGCUUCAAUCCCAUUCCUUCCACUACAAUUGCUCCAACAGUCAACAAAUGGAAACGAAGAGCAGCAAACAGGAAAUGAAGAAUCUAGCAUUUCAUAUUAGUGGUCUUGUUGCGGAAAAGGUACCCUGCCAUGACCUCUAGAGGUUACCUAAAGUCUGAUUUUGAAUCAAUUUCAGACUCUCUUUGAUGCGGGUGACGGUCAGAUUACGAGCACUGUGCAAAGGGAACAUGGAAAGUUGCCGCAAAAAUUCCUGAAGGGUAUACAGAACAAGAAUAUUGUUAAGCUCUGUAAUAAAGUUGAGACAUUUACUCCCUAGAUCGCAUUGCCAGGAUUUGGCAUUUGACCAUGCGUAAGAGAGGCAGCUAAAACAUGUAUGUGACAUCGUGAUCUUUCUUCAGAGACCUGCAACACUUGCAUGGUAACUAGUCCAACAUCCUUCCCGUCGUCCUUUCUGUUUCCCAUUCAUCUCCUGUAGAUAAUGGGAAGUCGUUCAAUAUUUUGUUUGGUGUUUGUGAUACCAAAGCUCUAACUCAUCUCUAACCCAUCUGUUUCGUCUAAUUGAUUCUCAUUGUAGAUGAAUUAUACAGAAGGGUUCACCUUUAUUUUUCUUUUUCCAUUUCUGUAUAUUUGCUAAGGUGUAACUGAAUUCUUGAAGUUAUUCUGUCAAUAUCCUAUUUUGUCUGUCUUAAA